GGCGAUAAAAGUUGGCUCCCCUGAUUUUAAAUUUUAUUUAAAACCAACAGAGGGAGCCACUGCAAACGAAACAGCUUUGGAUUGGCUUAGGGCGAAGCAGGCCUGUUCCGUAUGCUGAAGUUUUUGACGCAUUCUUAGUCUAUUGGUAACUCAUGAAUCCCAUCGUAAUAAACAGGCUUCAGCGGAAGCUGGGCUACACUUUUCAAC
rfam:Rahnella aquatilis CIP 78.65 = ATCC 33071, complete genome.